rnacentral:rRNA from 1 species
AUUGAACGCUGGCGGAAUGCUUUACACAUGCAAGUCGAGCGGCAGCGCGGGGCAACCCUGGCGGCGAGCGGCGAACGGGUGAGUAACACAUAGGAACAUACCCAUUAAUGGGGGAUAACGCCGAGAAAUCGGUGCUAAUACCGCAUACGCCCUGAGGGGGAAAGCGGGGGAUCUUCGGACCUCGCGUUAAUGGAAUGGCCUAUGUCUGAUUAGCUAGUUGGUGAGGUAAAGGCUCACCAAGGCUUCGAUCAGUAGCUGGUCUGAGAGGAUGAUCAGCCACACUGGAACUGAGACACGGUCCAGACUCCUACGGGAGGCAGCAGUGGGGAAUUUUGGACAAUGGGCGCAAGCCUGAUCCAGCCAUUCCGCGUGAGUGAAGAAGGCCUUCGGGUUGUAAAGCUCUUUCGGCAGGAA